CACCGCGGUUAUACGAGAGGCCCAAAUUAAUAAACCCCGGCGUAAAGAGUGGUUACGGUAGCAAUACACUAAAGCCGAAUGCUCUCUAGGCUGUUAUACGCAUCUGAGACUAUGAAGCUCCCUCACGAAAGUGGCUUUACCCCUCCCCGAACCCACGACAGCUACGACA
rnacentral:rRNA from 1 species